CGCGCACCCAACGGCAGUCUCUUGCAGCGCACACUGCCCAGGAUUGGUCCACCAGUGCCAGGUUGCCAUUGGUCCAGAGCUCCUGGAAGGCGGGCGGAGGCCCAGAUCCCAGUUACGAUUGGCCAUACUCAACACACGUAGUGGGGAUGUCCUCUGAUUGGAUGCAGUGUUGGCGGGAAGGCAGCUACGUCAUUGAAGGCGGUGCCAGGGCUGAGGCAUUUCCGGGCAUCCUCUGACCCGGAUUGGAGCAGCUACCUAGCCUUUGUUGAUCAUGCAUUGCCUUGCAGAUCUUUGCAAACAGGACCGCCUUUGAGAAGCCUUCUUGCUGUCUACCCAAGUCACAGCUGCACCGCAAUCAUCCCCCAUUCCCACCCAGCACCAGGAAGUGGAAGGAUUCCAACACUUUUGUGACCUAAAAGGAAAAAGCGGGCUGGUUGCAGUGACUCACACCUGUAAUCCCAGAGCCUGGGGAGGCAGAGGCUGGCGGAUCACUUGAGCAAUUGGUCAAAGCUUUAGAGUUACAGAAAUCCCAGCCCAAAGAACUCAAAUAUACCUGUCAGCAGGAAAAGCUGGCCCUGCAGGAGUUCUUGGAGCUCAGUGAGCCAUCGCAGAGCUCUGCUCUCAGAAGCAGAAGGUUUGGGACAAGGAGGAGGAGAUGGAGGUAGCCAUGCAGAAAGUCCACAUGAUGUGGCAGGAGAUACGAAGAUCAAGAAGCUCAGAGAGAGGAAGCUGUUUAGACGUUAGAUGGUUAAUCAAUACGAUGGUAUUGAUUAGACUUUUGUACGACCUUAAUAAAACAUCUUUGAAAACUU